rnacentral:rRNA from 1 species
AGAGUUUGAUCCUGGCUCAGAACGAACGCUGGCGGCGUGCUUAACACAUGCAAGUCGAACGAGAAAGUUUCCUUCGGGAAACGAGUAGAGUGGCGCACGGGUGAGUAACGCGUAGGCAAUCUACCCUUAUAUUUGGAAUAACAGACCGAAAGGUCUGCUAAUACCGGAUACACUUUUGGUUAUGCGAAUAACUUUGAGGAAAGGUGGCCUCUUCAUGAAAGCUACCGUAUAGGGAUGAGCCUGCGUACCAUUAGCUAGUAGGUGGGGUAACGGCCCACCUAGGCGACGAUGGUUAGCGGGUCUGAGACGAUGAUCCGCCACACUGGAACUGGAACACGGACCAGACUCCUACGGGAGGCAGCAGUGAGGAAUAUUGCGCAAUGGGGGGAAACCCUGACGCAGCGACGCCGCGUGAGUGAGGAAGGUUUUCGGAUCGUAAAGCUCUGUCAGAAGGGAAGAAGUGCCGGGUAGUUAAUACCUGCCUGGUUUGACGGUACCUUCAGAGGAAGCACCGGCUAACUCCGUGCCAGCAGCCGCGGUAAUACGGAGGGUGCAAGCGUUGUUCCGAAUUACUGGGCGUAAAGGGCGCGUAGGCGGCUUGAUAAGUCAGAUGUGAAAGUCCAUGGCUCAACUGUGGAAGUGCAUUUGAAACUGUCUCGCUUGAGUAUUGGAGGGGAAAGUGGAAUUCCCGGUGUAGAGGUGAAAUUCGUAGAGAUCGGGAGGAACACCUGUGGCGAAGGCGACUUUCUGGACAAAUACUGACGCUGAGGCGCGAAAGCGUGGGGAGCAAACAGGAUUAGAUACCCUGGUAGUCCACGCCGUAAACGAUGAGAACUAGAGGUAGGGGGUGUUGAUCCCUUCUGUCUCGCAGCUAACGCAUUAAGUUCUCCGCCUGGGGAGUACGGUCGCAAGAUUAAAACUCAAAGGAAUUGACGGGGGGCCCGCACAAGCGGUGGA